GGUGAACCCCGGGCUGCUGAAGCAGAGCACACAAACUUAACCGCUAUGCCACUGGACUGGCCCCAUGAAGAGUCAGGCUUUGAAUUCCAUAAAAUAACGGUGUCUGAAAAUAGAUGGCAUCUUAGAGCUGAUGACAUACUGUAAUGACCUAUGCUCAUAGGAGUGGGGAUGGAAAAGAGAGAAGGUCAUGACGAUGAGACUAUGUGAAAGAAGAACCUGGAAGGGCCUUAAUCAAAAAAAGAAGACAGAUACUUAUGCUCAGGCUGCCAUCUUGAACUGGAAGUUCAUCAAUGGGAAAUUCUCCAAGCAAGUUAUAUUCCACUCACUCAGAUGAAAUUGUAUAAGUUUUAUUUUUUUUUUUAUAUGUGAAAACUCAUCUUAGUGACGUAUAUAAAUUCUAUAAAAAUAACUGGUAUAAUUCAUAAAAACUGAUUUUCUUUUGUUACUCAAAA